rnacentral:rRNA from 1 species
UCGGGAAUUUUGGGCAAUGGGCGAAAGCCUGAUCCAGCAAUGCCGCGUGCAGGAAGAAGGCCUUCGGGUUGUAAACUGCUUUUGUACGGAACGAAAAGGCUCUUUCUAAUAAAGAGGGCCCAUGACGGUACCGUAAGAAUAAGCACCGGCUAACUACGUGCCAGCAGCCGCGGUAAUACGUAGGGAGCAAGCGUUGUUCGGAUUUACUGGGCGUAAAGGGCGCGCAGGCGGUCUUGCAAGACAGAUGUGAAAUCCCCGGGCUCAACCUGGGAACUGCAUUUGUGACUGCAAGGCUAGAGUACGGUAGAGGGGGAUGGAAUUCCGCGUGUAGCAGUGAAAUGCGUAGAUAUUAGGGGGAACACCUGAGGUGAAGACGGGUUGCUGGGCUGACACUGACGCUGAGGCGCGAAAGCCAGGGGAGCAAACGGGAUUAGAUACCCCGGUAGUCCCUGAGCGGGCUGGCAAGGCGCAU